rnacentral:rRNA from 1 species
UACAGAGGUCUCAAGCGUUGUUCGGAUUCAUUGGGCGUAAAGGGCGCGUAGGCGGCAUGACAAGUCACUUGUGAAAUCUCCGGGCUUAACUCGGAACGGCCAAGUGAUACUGUCAAGCUAGAGUGCAGAAAGGGCAAUCGGAAUUCUUGGUGUAGCGGUGAAAUGCGUAGAUAUCAAGAGGAACACCUGAGGCGAAGGCGGGUUGCUAGGCUGACACUGACGCUGACAGCGCGAAAGCCAGGGGAGCAAACGGG